GCCAAUCACACAAAGUCCAACUGUCACAGUUACGAGGCCUCCAGACUGCCUUCUCUCCCCACUCCGAACCCUUCCGAUGUUACUCCAGCUAGCCACUGCUUGCACAUUCCCAGGGAUGGGAAGCUCACCCUCUUCCCAGCCAGUUCCUUCCCAUGUGAGAUGGCUCUGCCUGACAGUGACUCCUCCUACCGCACCACUCUCUCAACCUGGGUUGUCCCGAGUCACAAAUUCCCAUGGGACGCAGAGAGGAAGACAGGCAGAAGGAGAAGCAAAUCCCAGUACUCAGAGAUGCCCUAAUAACCUUUCCAGAUCUGAGAAGACAGGGAAGAAGCUCUUGGCUCUCAGCCUACCCCAGUCUACAGGACCAGAAGCAACGGCUCUGGCUCCUGCCCUCAAAGUGCAACCUGGAGAUGCAUCGUCCUGAGCCCUGCUGACAGGCUGGAUGGAACGGAAUGGGCUGCUCAUCGGACAAGGGUGGCUGCCCAGAGCCCUGCCCAGCCUCACAGAUGGCCCACCAGGCUGCCUAGCUUUGCCCCUCCAGCUAUUCCUGGGCUGGCCCUGUGCAAGCAGUCAUGACCCUGGUACCCCUCAAUAUAUACAUACCCCAGGGCUGUCCAGAGCUAAACCCAAAAGAGGUACUGAGGCAAAAAAAAUCUAAGUAACAGGUACCCAAGGCCCCAUGCUCUGAAAACUCCCUGCCACUCAGUACGCAUCAUACAGGAGGUCUUGGUCUGUGGCUUUAAGACUAUGAACUCCCAGUGCCUCAAGUUCUAGGAAAAUCAGAGCUCACAUUAAAAUGCC
rnacentral:lncRNA from 1 species